GCAUCAGCACCAAGCUUCCGACACGCCUUCGGUCAAGCGUCGAUGCCAACACCCUGUGUGAAUGCAUUGAUAUAGGUAAUCACAGCGUGCUAAAUAAGAAACGACAACGGAUUGUCUUUAAAAACCCUCUUUUGUGAGGAACUGCUUCCUUCCGCGUCAAAUUCAAAUCUCAAGUUGACAGUUUAACAGAUAUUUCGGAUCUCCCCUCACAUGUCAUUUCAAAAGCAGGUAGGCCAUCAUCCAUCAAGUGGGUUUCUGCUCAGAGCAAAGCAGUCGGGGCAAGGGUUAACAGGGGCUUCCUGAUUGCUGCUGUUAUUCUAGAGGAGUUCACUGCCUUCCAAUCAUCCACUACAGGGUCACGAACAAGGAGGGAAAAUGCAGUCCAAUCCUUAUAAGAUGAAAAAGUAUGUGUGCUUUGGACCGGUACCAGCACGCAAUUAUUCCACAACACAGUCCACCCAUCACUGAUCUUGGCGACCGAAGAGAUGAAAAGAGCAGACUUAAGACUGAAUUUAUGGUAUGUGUGGAUGGCUCAGCUGAGGUGAAUGGAGAAGCUGCGUGAAGAGAAGACAAUGAUAUGACGAUAAUCUUUGAGAAGCCAAUUUAAAAAUAAUGAGAUUACCGAAUGAGAUCUAGCAUAGAUCUGACAAUGCAGUGAAGAGAAUGGAUAAAUCUAUCACAGAGACAGCGCUCAAGAGAGUCAUGCCUGAACAAAAGACAAUAGCUCUCAUUCACCAACCUUGCAUUCUGAAACUUUACAGACCUUAAGGAUACCUUUGUAAGAGUUUAAGCCCUUUCAUAAAGAAGGUUAGGAUGUGCAUAAAGCUAAUUACAUGUUUAAAAUACAUUUUUUUACUCUAGAGUA